rnacentral:rRNA from 1 species
UACGUAGGGGGCUAGCGUUGUCCGGAAUCAUUGGGCGUAAAGCGCGUGUAGGCGGCCCGGUAAGUCCGCUGUGAAAGUCGGGGGCUCAACCCUCGGAUGCCGGUGGAUACUGUUGGGCUCGAGUACGGAAGAGGCGAGUGGAAUUCCUGGUGUAGCGGUGAAAUGCGCAGAUAUCAGGAGGAACACCAAUUGCGAAGGCAGCUCGCUGGGACGUUACUGACGCUGAGACGCGAAAGCGUGGGGAGCAAACAGG